rnacentral:rRNA from 1 species
GUUAAGCGACUAAGCGUACACGGUGGAUGCCCUGGCAGUCAGAGGCGAUGAAGGACGUGCUAAUCUGCGAUAAGCGUCGGUAAGGUGAUAUGAACCGUUAUAACCGGCGAUUUCCGAAUGGGGAAACCCAGUGUGAUUCGUCACACUAUCAUUAACUGAAUCCAUAGGUUAAUGAGGCGAACCGGGGGAACUGAAACAUCUAAGUACCCCGAGGAAAAGAAAUCAACCGAGAUUCCCCCAGUAGCGGCGAGCGAACGGGGAGCAGCCCAGAGCCUGAAUCAGUGUGUGUGUUAGUGGAAGCGUCUGGAAAGGCGCGCGAUACAGGGUGACAGCCCCGUACACAAAAAUGCACAUACUGUGAGCUCGAUGAGUAGGGCGGGACACGUGGUAUCCUGUCUGAAUAUGGGGGGACCAUCCUCCAAGGCUAAAUACUCCUGACUGACCGAUAGUGAACCAGUACCGUGAGGGAAAGGCGAAAAGAACCCCGGCGAGGGGAGUGAAAAAGAACCUGAAACCGUGUACGUACAAGCAGUGGGAGCACGCUUAGGCGUGUGACUGCGUACCUUUUGUAUAAUGGGUCAGCGACUUAUAUUCUGUAGCAAGGUUAACCGAAUAGGGGAGCCGAAGGGAAACCGAGUCUUAACUGGGCGUUAAGUUGCAGGGUAUAGACCCGAAACCCGGUGAUCUAGCCAUGGGCAGGUUGAAGGUUGGGUAACACUAACUGGAGGACCGAACCGACUAAUGUUGAAAAAUUAGCGGAUGACUUGUGGCUGGGGGUGAAAGGCCAAUCAAACCGGGAGAUAGCUGGUUCUCCCCGAAAGC